GAAACCAACAGGGAUUGCCCUAGUAACGGCGAGUGAAGCGGCAACAGCUCAAAUUUGAAAUCUGGCCCUUGGGUCCGAAUUGUAAUUUGUAGAGGAUGUUUUUGGUGCGGUAUCUUCCGAGUUCCUUGGAACAGGACGCCUUAGAGGGUGAGAGCCCCGUACGGUUGAAUGCCUAGCCUUUGUAAAACUCCUUCGACGAGUCGAGUAGUUUGGGAAUGCUGCUCUAAAUGGGAGGUAAAUUUCUUCUAAAGCUAAAUACUGGCCAGAGACCGAUAGCGCACAAGUAGAGUGAUCGAAAGAUGAAAAGCACUUUGAAAAGAGGGUUAAAUAGCACGUGAAAUUGUUGAAAGGGAAGGAUUUAUGACCAGACUUUUUCUAGGCGAAUCAUCCGGUGUUCUCACCGGUGCACUUCGUUUAGUUUAGGCCAGCAUCGAUUUUCGGGGCGGGAUAAAAGCUUUAGGAAUGUGGCUCCCUCGGGAGUGUUAUAACCUAUUGUAUAAUACCGCCCUGGGGAUCGAGGUACGCGCUUCUGCAAGGAUGCUGGCGUAAUGGUUAUCAAUCACCCGUCUUGAAACACGGACCAAGGAGUCGAACAUUUGUGCAAGUGUUUGGGUGUUAAACCCUCACGCGUAAUGAAAGUGAACGGAGGUGAGAGCCCUUACGGGUGCAUCAUCGACCGAUCCUGAUGUCUUCGGAUGGAUUUGAGUAAGAGCAUAACUGUUCGGACCCGAAAGAUGGUGAACUAUGCGUGGAUAGGGUGAAGCCAGAGGAAACUCUGGUGGAGGCUCGCAGCGGUUCUGACGUGCAAAUCGAUCGUCAAAUCUGCGCAUGGGGGCGAAAGACUAAUCGAACC
rnacentral:rRNA from 2 species